rnacentral:rRNA from 1 species
GAAAUGGGGGGGUCGAUUAGCCAUGCAAGUCGAACGAACCUUGUGUUCGUGGCGAACGGCUCAGUAACACGUGGAUAACCUGCCCUUGGGACCGGGAUAACCCCGGGAAACUGGGGAUAAACCCGGAUAGGUGAUGCUGCCUGGAAUGGUUCUUCACCGAAACACCUCCGGGUGCCCAAGGAUGGGUCUGCGGCCGAUUAGGUUGUUGGUAGGGUAACGGCCUACCAAGCCGAUCAUCGGUACGGGUGUGAGAGCAAGAGCCCGGAGAUGGAUUCUGAGACAUGAAUCCAGGCCCUACGGGGUGCAGCAGGCGCGAAAACUUUACAAUGCGGGCAACCGCGAUAAGGGGACCUCGAGUGCUGGGUUACAAACCUGGCUGUUGGGCUGCCUAAGAAGCAGUCUAUAGCAAGGGCCGGGCAAGACCGGUGCCAGCCGCCGCGGUAACACCGGCGGCUCGAGUGGUAACCGCUAUUAUUGGGUCUAAAGGGUCUGUAGCCGGCCGACUAAGUCUCUUGGGAAAUCUGGCAUCUCAAGUGUCAGGCUGCCAGGGGAUACUGGUCGGCUUGGGACCGGGAGAGGUGAGAGGUACCUCGGGGGUAGGGGUGAAAUCUCGUAAUCCUCGAGGGACCACCAGUGGCGAAGGCGUCUCACCAGAACGGAUCCGACGGCAAGGGACGAAAGCUAGGGGCACGAACCGGAUUAGAUACCCGGGUAGUCCUAGCCGUAAACGAUACUCGCUAGGUGUCGGCCACGGUGCGACCGUGGUCGGUGCCGUAGGAAGCCGUGAAGCGAGCCACCUG